rnacentral:rRNA from 1 species
GAGACGGAAAGGCCCUUCGGAGAUCUCGAGCGGCGAACGGGUGAGUAACACGUGAGCAACCUGCCCUAGGCUUUGGGAUAACCCCGAGAAAUCGGGGCUAAUACCGAAUAUUACCUUCUGCCGCAUGGUGGGGGGUGGAAAGUUUUUCGGCCUGGGAUGGGCUCGCGGCCUAUCAGCUUGUUGGUGGGGUGAUGGCCUACCAAGGCGACGACGGGUAGCCGGCCUGAGAGGGCGACCGGCCACACUGGGACUGAGACACGGCCCAUACUCCUACGGGAGGCAGCAGUGGGGAAUAUUGCACAAUGGGCGGAAGCCUGAUGCAGCGACGCCGCGUGAGGGAUGACGGCCUUCGGGUUGUAAACCUCUUUCAGCAGGGACGAAGCGCAAGUGACGGUACCUGCAGAAGAAGCGCCGGCCAACUACGUGCCAGCAGCCGCGGUAAU